GAUAAACGCUGGCGGCGUGCAUAACACAUGCAAGUCGAACGAAGUGGCGAACGGGUGAGUAACACGUGAGUAACCUGCAUUACACAAGGGGACAGCCUUUGGAAACGAAGAAUAAUACCCUAUAGUGUAAGAUGGACUUGCGUCUGAUUAGCCAGUUGGUGAGAUAAAAGCCCACAAAGGCGACGAUCAGUAGCCGGCUUGAGAGAGUGUACGGCCACAUUGGGACUGAGACACGGCCCAAACUCUACGGGGGGCAGCAGUGGGGAAUUUGGCACAAUGGGGGAAACCCUGAUGCAGCGACGCCGCGUGAUUUAGAAGGCCUGCGGGUUGUAAAAAUCUUUUAUAUGGGAAGCGGUACCAUCAGAAAAAGCCCCGGCUAACUCCGUGCCAGCAGCCGCGGUAAUAC
rnacentral:rRNA from 1 species